ACUGCCGUGCGUUUGGCUGGUGUCUGUUCGGUUGCUGUUGCACCAUAGAGUGGCUACUGUGAGGCGUUGUGAGCUUUGAGAAGUCGCGUUUCCUAGAGCUGAACUCUCCCUCGUGAUUCUGUUGACACUUAUGCGCGUUCCCGCGACUGCUGUCUUCCCAAUCGUUAGUUAUUAGUACGGACGCCUGGCUUUGCCGGAGGGAUGACUGGCAUCUCGUGUAGCGAUUGCACUGUGGAUUGAGCGUCUUCACCUGCC